GGGCCCCCAGCAGCGAAGGCGAGAGUCGAGGCGUUGGAGGACUCUCCACACAGGGACGUCCGUUCCACUCCUUAAGGGUCGGGGGCACGCCAGCCCUGGGAGGCGCCCGGAGCAAAGGAGGCUAUUAAUUGGGAGUGGAACUCAAUAUGCUGAGUUCUGGCCAGGACACUGAUUGCAGCAGGUGUCUAAGAGGUCCCAGGGAUCCAGCUGGGAGAUGCCCCUAGGACCCCCUUUCAUCAUGCAUCUUGGUGGCCAUCCUGAAGCCAGGCCAGGUGGUGAAGGGGGACAGCCAACGGAUGAGAGAAUUUUGAGAAUGGAAUCUCUGGACCUUCGGUGGUGCUGGGUUGGGCAUCUGGAGACGUGAGUUCAAGUCACCCUUUGGUUACUGCCUUCAUGACCUUGGAUGGCCUGUUCAUCCUGCAUCUCCCACCUCUCUUUCCUUGACUGAACAGUGAGUGGGCUGAGUGGAGGAAUUUAGAGGCAGGCUCCUGAAGGGGAGCUGGAAGCCCAGGGACCUUUCCUUAAUGGAAUCCAGGAACGUAGAGGCCUUGGUUUGGAGCCCACCAGUGGUGUCCCUGUGGAAACUUCCUGUUUCAGGAAGCAGGGCUGGAAGUACCCAAGCAGGCUUGAGCAGGACUUGGACUAAGAGUAAAGAGCUGUUAAUGGGAUGUGAAUGCCCAUCCAAGGACCGUAUCUGCCAACUUUCCUUGCAUGUAGAGAGACUAUGUGGCUAAUUCUCACCAAUGGAAUGCAGGCAGAAGUGACAUUUUCCUGGAAGAGGCACCUAAGAAGCAUGUGUACCCUGUCUGGCCUCUCUUCCCCCAUCUGCUGGCAGGAUGCUCAAGACUCAAAGCCCUGGGGAGGGGAGAGGGAGUCCCAAGAUGGAAGGAGCCUGGGUCCCUGUAUCAUCUCGUGGAGGAGAGCUGCCUGCUGACUAAGAACAUCAAUGUUGUGGAGAGCCUUUUGUGUCAGAUCAGCGCUUCAUUAGCUUUGGCCUUGGGGAGAGAGAUGAGGUAGGUGAACCCGCUGGGAAACCACCCCAAAGCCCAGCAUCUGGACCCUCCUCUCUGUCUGAAGCACGGCUGGAGGGUCAGCAAUGCGAGGCUGUGCUGGGGUGGGGAGCUUGUUUUCUGGGCCUGCUGUCCAGUUUCUCUUGUCGUUGAAAGAAAAUACAAACCUACAGAAAAAUUUUAUAAGAGUUUAUUUGAGCCAAAUUUCAGGAUGUGCCUGGAAGUGAGAUCUCAACGGACUGAGAAAAUGGUCUGGAGAAUGGCAGUUAUGCAUUUAGAAUCAAAGGAGAGAAAGCAA